CCAUAUCAAUAAGCGGAGGAAAAGAAACUAACAAGGAUUCCCCUAGUAACGGCGAGUGAAGAGGGAAGAGCCCAAGAUUGAAAGCUGGCGUCUUCGGCGUCCGCAUUGUAAUCUCAAGAAGUGUUUUCCGCUUCGGACCAAGCCUAAGUCCCUUGGAAAAGGGCAUCAUAGAGGGUGAUAAUCCCGUACAUGGCUUGGAGCGCCCGAAGCUUUGUGAUACGCUUUCUAAGAGUCGAGUUGUUUGGGAAUGCAGCUCAAAAUGGGUGGUAAAUGCCAUCUAAGGCUAAAUAUUGGGGAGAGACCGAUAGCGAACAAGUACAGUGAUGGAAAGAUGAAAAGAACUUUGAAAAGAGAGUUAAACAGUACGUGAAAUUGCCAAAAGGGAAGGGUAGGAGGUCAGAGAUGCGGCCUGGGAUUCAGCCUUGCUUUUGCUUGGUGUUUUUCCCAGAUUGCAGGCCAACGUCGGUUUUGGGCACUGGAGAAGGGUAGGAGGAACGUGGCACCUCUCGGGGUGUGUUAUAGCCUCCUACUGGAUACAGCGACCGAGACCGAGGACAGCAGCGUACUCGCAAGAGCGGGCCUUCGGGCACCUUUACGCUUAGGGCGUUGGCAUAAUGGCCCUCUACCACCCGUCUUGAAACACGGACCA
rnacentral:rRNA from 1 species